AACCCAACCCCGCCUUUACUAGGUUUGUGCACAGGGUUUGUGCUCAGAGCAGGAUCAGAGCAGGCUGGAUGGGUGCGGGCUUGGCCAGACUGUCCGCCCUGGCCCAGCCGGUUCACCUCAUUCAUUCGUCCCCCGGUGGCCCUGGGUGUCUGCCGCGUGCCAGCCCUCUGCUGGGCGCGGGAAGGCAGAGAUACACCCGGGCGCGCUUGGGGGACGCAGAGACCAAGCAGGACAGAGAAGAGCUUGCGUCGCGCGUUCUCCAAGGGUCCGAUGCAAAAAGCUGAGAACCACGCGAGAGAUGUGCACACCAGCUGCCCUCAGGGACACUUCAUGAUGGUAAGCAGUGUGGGUCAGAGAAGCAGCAACCAGCCCCAGGAGAAUCAAGAGCCAGCCCUGCUCCCACCUGCAUGUGAGUCACCAUCAGGGAUGAUUCUCAUUAGUAACCAGAAUAGGCCAGGAGAAGCAGUAGCCAAUCCCACCCUCACACACACACUGUCCUCCAUCAGGGAGCUUCCUUCAGGUAUGCAGCUCGGACUGGGAAAAGCAGCAGCCAGCCCUGCACCAAUACAUCCCCUGGCCACCAUCAGGUAGCAGUGGCCAGCACUGACCAGGAGAACCAGCCACUCAAGCCUUGGAGAUAUCAGCCAACAUGAGAAGUGCCUUGGACUCCACAUCCCACUUAUCCAGAACACAGGAAAAUGUUAAGAUGAAGAAGCAAAAGGCAAUCUCUGGCCUUCAACCCAUGAAGAGCAAGUGCAGGAGAUGCAAAUAUGGAAGAGACUGGAAGUGGCACGCCUGAAGUCUCUCUAUGGCAGAGUACUCCACUGCAUGUAAAUACUACAUUGUCUUUACCCCUUCAUCUGUGGAUGGGUAUAUGGGCUGUUUCCAAGAUUUAGCUAUUAUGAAUUGUGCUGCUAUAAACAUGGGCAUACAUAUACAUGCAUAUUUGCUGGGUUGAAUGGAACCUUUAGUGUUAAUUUUUAAAGAAAUCUCCAUAUUGAUUUCCAUUGUACAAGUUUUCAGUCCCACCAAAAGUAGAGAAAGAUUUCUUUUUCCCCUGCAGCCUCUCCGGUAUUUGUUAUUGUAUGAUUUCUCAAUGGUAUCCAUUCUUUCUGGAAUGAGAUAGAACUGUAGUGUUGUUUUAAUUUGUAUUUCUCAAAUGCUCAGGUGGUGCUUGGGGAAAGAGGACUGGGAGUUCCUUAUUGAAAGGCAGACAAAUUUACAAUGUUAAUGUAGUGAGAAUGUGGCUUUGGGCAAAGUCUUCUGUGGCUAGUAGAAGGCCUGAGACAUAUAUGAAGAGGUAAAGUUGUAACUUCAGUGGAGCCUGGCAUUGAGGAGCUGCUCCUCUUUCCUAAUGAUAGCAUGGCAUUUUUUCCAGGGGCAAGAAAGCACCAGAGGACUCUGCUGGUGAGAUAGACCAGAAGUAGGAAAGGGAAAUGUCUACAGAACUGGAAUUCUUGGUCUGUAUUUCCAAAGUUGCCCUCUCUUUUCAUCAUUCAAAAGGAAAUCUACAAUGAAGGCCAUACUUAACUGUCUUAUGACAAACAGGAAACGGGGAGACUCAAAGACAACCUCGUAUUGUGUCUCAGAGAUUUGAAACUAACAAUAAAUCUAAGCUGAUGAAUUUGGAACUGUCAUCACUGGAGACUGACUACUGUCCUUUUUCACACUCAUUUUCAGACAGGGUGGGAUCAAGUUCUUCUCCCGGGCUGGAAGGAGAGAGAGGCCAGUUGGGAGAUAACUUGUGCUAAGGACUCCUCCAGUUAGUUUUUCAGUGGAGAACAGUACAAAGGCCACUGUCUUUACUCUUGUGUUCUAUAGACAAUUGAUUUUGAAAUUGCUCAGCCUUGAAAUGGAGCAAUUGAUUUUCAAAGUCCACGUGCCAAUUACUUACCCUGAGGAUGCACUGAGCCAUUCAAAGACAGAUAUCCUUUUUCAAACCCUAAGGGUUUUGAAUCACCGUGAAGUAAGAAUAAAGAAAGAUAUUUUUUCUCUGUUUAGACAAAUAAAUGUGAGGAAGCUAUGGGCAUGGGACCAAAUUAUUUUAAUCCACUUGCACAAUUUAUGAGACGCCAGCUCAUGUUAGAGGCCAUAUGGGCAUAACAAGGAUUCAGCAGACAUUUUCUAUAUUUUCUUCUCAAGAUUGAAUGGCAAGUAUUCCAUAUUUAAAGAAGUGGAAAAAUAAGCGAAACCUAUGAUGAAGUAAAAUUUUUCUUAUCUUCUCUAAGAAGAUCAUUAGUUCUUAUUGUCAAGCCAAAUCCCAAGCUUCCAAGUUUGUCAAAGGAGAAGCAGUUCAAUUUUGUGAAUCUGACCACUGACCUCUGUGUUUAUUUUGUUUGUGUGAAUUUUCCCUUAUCACUGCUGCUUUAAUUCCUAGUAACUCACUGUGACCAUUUGACCCAAAACACAACCACAAUCAAGAAGUACAGAGCCCUAGAAGAUUGCCCGAAGACUCAGGAUAUUAAUUUAGAAAUAACACCAGCAAUGAUUAGUUAACCCCAUGCAAUAGUUAUCUUUUAUACUUUAAGGAAAUAGUCACAGCAACUCAAGGAGACUCUCCAAGUUUAGUUGCACAGCUACUAAUUGUUGAAGCCAAGACUGAAACUCAGAAAAUGAGCCAGGACGUGAAUAUGGGGUACUAACCAGCACCCAGUAAGAGGAGGAGCGUGAUUAGACUGUAUUUCCAGAGACAGCUGCAGCAGUGUCUCCCAUGUCUCUGCCUCUGCAAUUCACUUAAAUGACAUUUCAGUGCCUGUGUUCUAGGGAUGAAGAUGUAUUGUUUGCCUCCCACUCUGACCCAAAGGGAGACCCUGAGGAAGGGGUUCAUGUGCAAGUAGUUUACGUAGGAGGAAAACUUAAGAGAACCCUGUCGUUGGAGCAGGGACAUGAGAUAGGAAAGGGAAGGCAGCCAAUGCAUGCAUAGAGGAAGGGAGUGUUAGCAACCGAGUUAUCACUGCAGACAGCUGGAGCUGGGCCCCACUGGGAAAAGCUGGGAAGCAGUGCACAGCACAUCCCAGCUGUUUAUCUCCCCUUUUCCUCCAUGCUGGUGGCUGACUGAUGCUCCCAGAGGGGUGUACCCCCUGGUACCCUGGCUGCCUCUGGGAGCAGGCAGAGCAGGCCUCAGAAGCACAGGAAAUCCAUUUUGGACAGGGGAGGGGUAAAGAGAACCACUGAUAACAUCUGCUGGAGAGACGUUCAGUCUGUGCACUCGGGUCAGUGUGCAAGCUCUGAGGAGUAUGCAACAGUGAUAGCAAAGAAAUUACAACACAAUCAAGACUCAGAUUGCCCAAAUGAAACAGAAUAUAGAAUCCUCUUGAGGUUUUAUGCAGCCAGUUCCCGCAGUGGCCCCUGUUACUCUCUUCUUUGAGCCUUUGCUUUCCCCAAACCAGGCCCCCAUAUGGUUCCCACUGACCGUCUGUUCAUCUGUUAUUCACGGUGGAGGUAGGACUACAUUUGCCUGUCUGCAAGAAUAUUACCUUAGCAACGUUUGCAGCCCUAUUUGAGGAACAUCAGCAGGGAAGCACCAGGCCUGUGUUGAUCAAAGUGGCUGUAUGAUGUGCAUGGGGCUUCCUGGGAAUUAUUAACCCUAAUUGAUGAUGAUUUUAGUUGAAAACGAUUGAAAGACUGCAUAUAAAAAUCUGGUUUAGAGAGUAAUGUUUCCUUUAUCUUCUAAAGAAUUGUUUUCCUUGGAUACAUCUGAAAUAACUCAGUAUGUUGACUGAGUGCUCACCCAGAUGACCAAAUCUCUCUGAUUAUAAAUAGCAUAAAAGCUAUGGGGAAAUGUUUAAAUGCAUAAUCUGAGCAUCUCAAUUGUAUGUUCUUUUCACAAAGAAGUGGAUUGAUCUAUCCCAGUGCCUUUUCCAAAAUGUUCUUUUUUGGGGAAUGUGUGACCUAAGCAGCAGACAUGUAUUGUAAGAAACUGACCCACGAUUGCGGAUACCAGCAAUCUCUGGAGUAGAUGUCUGCAGGGUUGGUGUCUUCUGAGCUCUCUCUCAGGUAGCUGCACUCUCCUGUGUGUCCCAGAGACUCCCCUCUGCACCUUUGGCCUAAUUUCCUCUUCCAUAAAGACACUAAUCACAUCGGAUUAGGAUUCACACAGAUGACUCCAUUUUAACUUAGUUACCUCAUUUUAUAUUCCAUGUUAAACAGGUUUGCUUUCCUUUUCAACUUUAUUGAAGCAUAGUUAAUGAAUAAAUUUGUAUCUAUUUAAAGUGUCUGACCAUGAUUUGGUGUACAUACGCCAUGAGAUGAAGCACACAUUAAUCACUUCACAUAGCUAUGUGUUUUGUUUGUGUGAGAACACUUACGGUCUAUUCUCAGCAAAUUUUAAGGAUGUAACACACUGCUAUGGAUUAUAGUAACCACCAGAUCUUCAGAACCUACUUAUCUUAUAACUGAGUGUGUACAUUGUGAUCAACAGUUGGUUGCUCUGGCAAUCACGUUCUACCAUUUCUGAGUGUGAUGUCCCUACCCACAGAUUCCACAUACAAGUAAUACUGUAUCAUGCUGCCCCUUCUCUGGUUUACUUUGUUCAAUGCACUGCAAACACCAGCAAUUUUGUUUUAUUUAGAUGUCAUGACAUGAGGCUGAGGUUUUAGAGUUUAUGAGAAAAUCCAUUGGUAAGAUGCAUGAUCCUCUUUGAGGGCACAUUUUAUUUGAGGUUCUUUAUCGCUUUCCAAGUAUUUAUAAGUUUAAGCUAAGGCAGAUUGUAUUUCUAAACAGUGAGCACAGAUAUUACAUUUUCCAGGCUAUAGUUUCACAUUCAUAAUAAUGACAUUUCAGGAUUCAGAGUUACACAUAGAACAGCCAGGAGGUGUGAUCACUCAGUCUGAAAGCUUGUCAUCUGCUGUUAUUUAAGGAGGCUGAGGACAGCCCUGUCACACAUGAUUUAGUAAGCACAAUGAAUUAUAUCAGAAAGCUAUGGCUCCUACUCUGUUCACAUCAACUCUGCAGUUAUUUAAGAGACAUGAAGAGGGAAAUAACGAAUUUGGAAGGAAGUUUGUUGUGCUAGGCACAUAGUGAAAAGAGAUCAGAUAAAUUUUAUUGAAAUAUUAUCACAGAGGAAGUCCUGCUCUAAACUUCUGUUCAGCCACAAGAGAUGGUGUUAGUUCAGCUGCCUGAGUUAAAGUCCUAUUUUACAUACCUACAGGAGCAGAAAUCUCCAUUGUCAAAAAAUGCACAUUAAAUCAGGAUUUUCAGAAAGAUAUGAUUCGUCAUCAAUGUUAUAACCUAAGGCCCCCUAACUAUUGCGCCGUAAGGUCUGUUCUGUAUAAGCCCACCUGCUGCUUCCCCUCCCCUUCUCCCUUCACAUCUAACUAGGUUAAGUUUUAACUUCCCAAAAGGCCACAAAACAAAGGCCUGAGGUAAUAGCUCCUGAGCCCGUCACAAAUUGUGUUAAUUGCAUUAGAUUGUAUUAGAUUGUACUAUUCUUCACAAAAAUAGCUUCGUUAUAUUUGUAUCAUAGCAAUACCUGUAACUUGGCCUUACUGUCUGUGUUUUCCUUUUCUCUUUGGAUGACCUAAUUGAUAUGUUAAUCAAUGCUCUCCUCUGUAAAGAAUUGUAAAAUCUUACCUAAUUGAUAUGUUAACCAUUGUUGCCCUCUACAAAUAACAGUUGUGGUGCUGAAGUAGGGUAACUAAGGUUGUUAAUUGCUGUUAGACUUCUCUAUUCUUUGCUAAGAAAAACAAGAUUUCUUCUUAUCUAAACUUGCUAGUAUGCAGGGAGACUUGCAAUUGCCGUUUCUGCUUUGUAGUGCAUCACACCCCCAGCCCCUUCCUUACAUUGUGUGACCAGCAGCUGUUUGUGGAUUUACAAGAUAAAAGCACUGACUUUUAGCUGUGAGGGGCGCAGUCUCCAAAUUGGCUCCUGGAGACUGUGUCACCAGGCCUGGAAAUAAAGCCUUUGCUUCCCAAAUUUUAA